GGAUCAAUAUGUUGGUCGUGCCUUGGUACGUACUGGUAUUGUUGGUUUCUCCCUUCUGACGAACCAUGAUGCCAUUAAUUUGGUGUUGCGGGGAAUUUGGACUGUUACUUUGAAAAAAUUAGAGUGUUUAAAGCAAGCUAACGCUUGAAUACAUUAGCAUGGAAUAAUGAAAUAGGACGUUCGAUCCUAUUUUGUUGGUUUCUAGGAUUGACGUA
rnacentral:rRNA from 1 species